rnacentral:rRNA from 1 species
CAGUAGCCGCGGUAACACGGAGGGUGCAAGCGUUAAUCGGAAUUACUGGGCGUAAAGCGUGCGUAGGCGGUUUGUUAAGUCUGCUGUGAAAUCCCCGGGCUCAACCUGGGAAUGGCAGUGGAUACUGGCAAGCUAGAGUGUGUCAGAGGAUGGUGGAAUUCCCGGUGUAGCGGUGAAAUGCGUAGAGAUCGGGAGGAACAUCAGUGGCGAAGGCGGCCAUCUGGGACAACACUGACGCUGAGGCACGAAAGCGUGGGGAGCAAACAGGAUUAGAUACCCGGGUAGUCCCUGUCUCUUAUAC